CCGCGUAGCUGACGCAGCCCAGUUGGAGCGAGCGACCUGGUCAGCCAGCGACAGGUCCCUUGCUGCCCUACCUGCCAGUUCUUGACAUGAAUGUCGAAGCAUCUUUCAGGAAAGCUCUCUGGGGCAGGUUGUAGGUCUAACAUUUUGAGAAACUGCUGGCUGCUCUGUUUGUCAGAGUGGCUGAACCAUUUUGCAUUCCCAGCAGCAGCAUAUGAGAACGCCGUCGUUGAUGUACUACUUUAAACAGCUGUUCAGUAGAAAAGAAUAAGAAAUUUAACCAAAGAUUAAUUCUUAAGCACAAAGAUUGUGCUAGAUUUGUUGCUUUGUGGAGUCUUACCAAAGAUGUUACAUUCUGAGGCUGAGAAGCCAGCUUGGAAUCUAACGGUUUGAUCAAUUGCUUGAAACAACCCCAGACCCAACUGUGGCCCACACCAGCUGACACUAAACAAGUUCCUCUCAGUAAGGUAAAAGGAGUUCAAAGGUUUCUGGAGAGAUCAGGAGUGGUAAUACAGGCCUGGGAAAGUAUAUGAGAGUCUCAAGAAUGAAACUGAUAGGUCACCCACCAAUAUUCUACCUGAUUUCCAUUUCCUAUUCCAUUUCCUCUUGGGGGAAACUAGGCCAAACUAACAUAUGUCUGAUUUAGGCAUAGAUUCUAGAGCAGUGGUUCUUUUUUUUUUCCCCCCCUUAAAU